rnacentral:sRNA from 1 species
AGUUGCACUGGGUCGACUGCGCGCGUGACGGUGAAGUAAUCACGCAUCACGAUGCUGUGACGACCUUC